rnacentral:rRNA from 1 species
GACGAACGCUGGCGGCGUGCCUAAUACAUGCAAGUUGAGCGCUGAAGGUUGGUACUUGUACCGACUGGAUGAGCAGCGAACGGGUGAGUAACGCGUGGGGAAUCUGCCUUUGAGCGGGGGACAACAUUUGGAAACGAAUGCUAAUACCGCAUAAAAACUUUAAACACAAGUUUUAAGUUUGAAAGAUGCAAUUGCAUCACUCAAAGAUGAUCCCGCGUUGGAUUAGCUAGUUGGUGAGGUAGAGGCUCACCAAGGCGAUGAUACAUAGCCGACCUGAGAGGGUGGUCGGCCACAUUGGGACUGAGACACGGCCCAAACUCCUACGGGAGGCAGCAGUAGGGAAUCUUCGGCAAUGGACGAAAGUCUGACCGAGCAACGCCGCGUGAGUGAAGAAGGGUUUCGGAUCGUAAAACUCUGUUGGUAGAGAAGAACGUUGGUGAGAGUGGAAAGCUCAUCAAGUGACGGUAACUACCCAGAAAGGGACGGCUAACUACGUG